AGCUUUGCACAGUGGUAAUAUCGUAGCCCAUGAGGUUUAUCUGGGCGCGAUUAUUGCUAAUUAAAAACUUCCCCACAAUAAU
rnacentral:snRNA from 1 species